rnacentral:misc_RNA from 1 species
UGAACUUGCCUCAGUAUCGCGUCGAUUCUGAAUUGUGACGGUUGUGAAGUGCAGCAGUGUGCGAUAGGCCGCUGUCCGCCAGUAUUACCUAAAAAAUUCGUAAUUAUUUAUUUAUCAGUGCGUUUUUAGUGUUGAUACAAUAAAUAAUGGCGAAUUUAAGGCAAACACCCUUAACCUGCAGCGGGCACACGAGACCAGUUGUCCACUUAGCUUUCUCCGAUGUAACGGAGUCCGGCUACUAUCUAAUUUCGGCAUGUAAAGAUGGCAAACCCAUGUUGAGACAGGGUGAUACGGGAGAUUGGAUCGGAACGUUUGAAGGGCAUAAAGGGGCAGUGUGGGGUGUGGCUCUAAACCCACAGGCCACGAGAGCUGCGACUGGGGCAGCUGAUUUCAAUGCCAAAGUAUGGGAUGCGGUAAAAGGAGAAGAAGUUCAUUCCUUCCAACACAACCAUAUCGUCAAGUCCGUGAACUUUAGUUCGGACUCGAAUUACUUGUGCACCGGUUCAAAUGAAAAACUUGUCCGCAUUUAUGAUCUGAACAAACCAGAAGCUACACCUCAGGUAUUCUCAGGACACACGAGUGGCAUAAGGCAUGUUACAUUUUUCAAAAAUGAUACGGCUCUGGUUACUUGUGCCGAUGAUAAAACUCUUAGAGUCUGGGACAGAAAUAGCAGGCAAGAAAUGAAGAGACUUGAUUUUCCGGCAAUACCUAGUUCCAUGGAAGUUUCCAGGGAUGGAAAUGUAAUCACGACUACGCACUCUAACGUCGUCACCUUUUGGGAUAGCAAAGAAUUAACUAAGAUUCGCGAAUUCAAUGUUCCUACGCAAGUGAACAGUGCGAGUUUACAUCCAGACUGCAGCAUUUUUGUGUGCGGAGGAGAAGAUCUCAAAAUGUACAAAUUUGACUAUAUUACUGGAGCAGAGAUUGAAUCGUUCAAGGGCCAUUUCGGUCCUGUUCAUUGCGUUCGAUUCUCUCCCGAUGGUGAACUGUACGCGAGCGGAUCUGAAGACGGUACCCUUAGACUGUGGCAGACCACCAUAGGAAAGACGUAUGGUCUAUGGCGCUGUAUAGAGCAGACUCCAAUAAUUCCAGAAAACGCCGCGCUCAACAACAAACAAGAGGUUUCGGCCAGCUAAAUAAAAAAUCUCAAGUCAGACAUCAAAUGAUAAUGUUAAACGUUUAGACUGUACGAAUCAUCCGGAGACCAUCUCGAAUUGUCAACAAGAUUCGAGUGUUUAUCUCUGUUGAAAACUUCAACUCUGUUCACUUCUUGGGAUGAACUAAGGAGGAAUCGAAGGUAAGAGAAGUGACCUUAAAUUCAAUGCAUCAAUUACUCUUUACGAGGCAAUUGCGAGCUACGAGUUCGUAUUUAUUUAUCAAUUUUUGGGACAUGCGAUAUCGACUAUCUUGUCGUGCAUACCCGACCCAUCUUGUAAAUCUUUCCAUAGUAAGACAAAAAGAUUUUUUAUACCAAGAUAACCCAGAGCUGUUGCGCUCUUUGGUGUUCGAUUAUUAAAAAUCUUCUGUAUAUAAAUAUGUAAUACACGCCUGAACAAGGUCUCGAAAAUAUAGUUGUACAAUUCAAUUCUUCUCACAUACAUAUAUUUCUUACGAACAAAUCUUUUCAACCGGAUCUUGGAUUCUAUGAAUUAUACCAAGUUACGGAACAAUUUCAACGAUAUGUUAAUUGAUAAAUGGGUAAUCAGUUACAUGAUCAAUGCAAUUAAUAAGCUGUACUUCAAAUUGCAAUUUGCUAUACUAUUGGAGCAUGUGAAUAAAUGGAGGAAAUAAAAACAAAGACAAGUAUUUAUUAUA